UACGAAGGGGGCUAGCGUUGUUCGGAAUUACUGGGCGUAAAGGGCGCGUAGGCGGUGUGUCAAGUCAGGCGUGAAAGCCCCGGGCUCAACCUGGGAACAGCGCUUGAGACUGGCACGCUCGAGUUCGGGAGAGGAUGGUGGAAUUCCCAGUGUAGAGGUGAAAUUCGUAGAUAUUCGGAGGAACACCAGUGGCGAAGGCGGCUCACUGGCUCGGUACUGACGCUGAGGUGCGAAAGCGUGGGGAGCAAACAGG
rnacentral:rRNA from 1 species